GACGAACGCUGGCGGCGUGCCUAAUACAUGCCAGUCGAGCGAAGUUUUUCUGGUGCUUGCACUAGAAAAACUUAGCGGCGAACGGGUGAGUAACACGUAAAGAACCUGCCUCAUAGACUGGGACAACUAUUGGAAACGAUAGCUAAUACCGGAUAACAGUAUUUCUCGCAUGAGAGAUAUUUAAAAGUUGGUUAUGCUAACACUAUGAGAUGGCUUUGCGGUGCAUUAGCUAGUUGGUGGGGUAAAGGCCCACCAAGGCGACGAUGCAUAGCCGACCUGAGAGGGUGAUCGGCCACACUGGGACUGAGACACGGCCCAGACUCCUACGGGAGGCAGCAGUAGGGAAUCUUCCGCAAUGGGCGAAAGCCUGACGGAGCAACGCCGCGUGAGUGAAGAAGGAUUUCGGUUCGUAAAGCUCUGUUGUUAGGGAAGAAUGGAUAUGUAGUAACUAUACAUGUAAGAGACGGUACCUAACCAGAAAGCCACGGCUAACUACGU
rnacentral:rRNA from 1 species